rnacentral:lncRNA from 1 species
UGCUAAUUGGGUAUGGUUAGGUUUAGGAGUAAGGGUUAGGGUUAAGAUUAUAGGGGUUACAGUUAUUUUUGGGUAAGGUUUGUGUUAUGGUUAGGGGUAAUGCUAACAGCGUAACUACAAAUGUUAAUUUAAGUACUUCAAAUGCACAAGCAUAUAUGUACAUAAGUAUAUUGUAUCAAAUGGUUAAAUGCAUUGUAACUAUAAGGCCACUUAACAUGAAAUGUGACUGAAAAUUAUUUCUUUUGUCACCAGCUUCGGGCAAUGGAUGUGUCUACUGGUGAGGCAGGAACAACUACUCUCUCUGUGAUUGUAGUACCAUCAGUGGGGGUCCAGUCGCCCGACGAGGGGUACCGUGCAGGAGACAUGGCUUUGCUGGGCUUUGUAAUGGCUGCGUUACUGGUGCUCUGCCUCAUUGUGAUUGGCUAUCUGAUAUCCCGUGUCAAGAAGGGGAAUCCUGAUGCAUUCAAGUCUGAGGGGACACAGGGAGAUCCAGAUCCAGGCGAGCUGAACUGAGAGAAAGGAGACUGGAUGCAGUUCAAGCAGCGAGGGUGCGAGUGAUACCUCGUGAGAGACAGAGGCACUGCAGCUCCUGUGGACUCCAGACACAUACCAACCAUUCACACCAUAGUCCUGCCGUCCAAACCAGAGGAAAGGCGAAUAAGCAUAAAGUAAAAUCCAUUCUGGCUAAAGAGAGGAGGAAGGACGACAGACACAAGACCGUUUGGUUCAAGGAGAGCGAGGAUUCUUCAGAUAUUGAGGUGGAGAUCAUCCCUGACACUAUAGGGCUUAAGCCAGAAGAGGACAUGGAGAAAGUCGAAGGGGAUUUUGCAUCCCCUCCACCGGAAGACAGUGAGAUGGAACUGGGGGAGUUGACAAUGCUGAAUAUACAGGACUUGAGUAGCAGGGAAACAGCAAUUUCUGAUAGUAGAGAAGGACUGAACACAGAAAGAAGAGAUCAGUGAAACAGUAAAACAAGAGCUCUUUGCUCAUCAGAGACUGAAUUCGUUUAUUUCUCAAGUUCAGUUUGGCUGAAAUAAUUUAUAUUUGUGAAAAUAAAAUCGGGUUCCGUUCAGACAUAAUUAAUGGCAAAAUACUGACACGUUUAUUCAUAUUGGUGAUAAAUUGUGAGUCCAUUAUGAUAUGCAUUUUUCCAUUGUGUGAUAUGCAUGCUAAACUAAUAUGCAAACAUGUGUUGAUGUAAUGUCUAUAAUUUCAGAAAACAAUACUUCGAAUUUAA